rnacentral:tRNA from 1 species
GCCUGUUUAGCUCAGUGGUCAGAGCAUCGCACUUGUAAUG